UCCUUAUAAAGAGCCGGGGAAGGAAUCUGGUCCGUUGAUCCCGCAGCAACCUCUCCUAGUUGGAGAAGGUGCUCAUUCCAGCAGACAUUGUCUGAGAGAUAAGGU
rnacentral:ncRNA from 2 species